CUCUCUCGACAACUACACGCGUUCGCAAGAAUGAGGAAAGUCUGGACAUCACCCGAGAGCAUGGCAGUUAACGGCUGCGGGAUAGAGCUAUAUUUGAAUCUCUAUUUACGGAUAGUGCCACAGAGACAAUACUAUCUUGCUUCGGCAAGAGAAAGGUGAAAAGUCCUACUCAGUAGGAUCUCAUAUUCUAUAUGAGGUGGUAAACCCCAUGUGAUGCAAAGGGAAUGGUACUACUUGAGAGAUAUGCUCGGGCACUCGAUAGUAUGUAUACCCUGCUUGAGGUGUCGCGUGAGUGACAUCCUAGAGAGAUGUGUAGAGAAAUACAGAAUCCGGCUUAUUAUCGAGAGAGCUUU
rnacentral:RNase_P_RNA from 1 species